rnacentral:rRNA from 1 species
ACAGAGGUGCCGAGCGUUAGGCGGAAUCACUGGGCAUAAAGCGCACGUAGGCGGCCAAGUCAGUCAGGUGUGAAAUACCUCGGCUCAACCGAGGAACUGCGCCUGAUACUGCUUGGCUUGAGGUCCGGAGGGGAGAGUGGAAUUCCCGGUGGAGCGGUGAAAUGCGUAGAGAUCGGGAAGAACGCCGGCGGCGAAAGCGACUCUCUGGUCGGAAUCUGACGCUGAGGUGCGAAAGCUAGGGGAGCAAACGGG